rnacentral:rRNA from 1 species
GAUGAACGCUGGCGGCGUGCCUAAUACAUGCAAGUCGAACGAGGUGCUUUUGUAGCAAUACGAGAGUAUCCUAGUGGCGAACGGGUGAGUAACGCGUUGGUGACCUGCCCCAAAGUGUGGGAUAACAGUCCGAAAGGAUUGCUAAUACCGCAUGUGGUCUCUGGGUUUAGAAACCGGUGACUAAAGGAGUAAUUCGCUUUGGGAGGGACCUGCGUCCCAUCAGCUAGUUGGUGAGGUAACGGCUCACCAAGGCGACGACGGGUAGGGGACCUGAGAGGGUGGCCCCCCACAAUGGAACUGAAACACGGUCCAUACACCUACGGGUGGCAGCAGUAGGGAAUAUUGCUCAAUGGGCGAAAGCCUGAAGCAGCAACGCCGCGUGCACGAUGAAGGCCUUCGGGUCGUAAAGUGCUUUUCUGCGAGAUGAGAAAGGACAGUAUCGUAGGAAUAAGUCUCGGCUAACUACGUGCCAGCAGCCGCUGUAACAC